rnacentral:rRNA from 1 species
GACGAACGCUGGCGGCGUGCUUAACAUAUGCAAGUGGUGCGACGAACCAGGCUUCGGCCUGGGGCGAAGCCGCGAACGGUUGAGUAACACGUGGGCAAUAUGCCCCUUUGAUCGGGACCACCCGGGGAAACCCGGGCUAAUACCGAAUGAGGUGGCGACUCAUGAGAGUCGUCCAGACAGGAAGCUUCGGCCUCAGCGACGGGAUGAGCCCGCGGCCCAUGAGAUUGUUGGUGGGGUAAUGGCCCACCAAGGCAACGAUGGGUAGCUGGUCUGAGAGGGCGAUCAGCCACACUGGGACUGAGACACGGCCCAGACUCCUACGGGAGGCUGCAGUGGGGAAUCUUGCGCAAUGAGCGACAGCUUGACGCAGCAACGCCGCGUGAGGGAAGAAGGCUUUCGGGUCGUAAACCUCUUUCAGUUAGGACGAAGCUUUAUUGGUUAAUAACCAAUUGGAGUGACGGUACUUUCAGAAGAAGCCCCGGCUAACUACGUGCCAGCAGCCGCCGUAA